GGAGGUGGCAAGCGUUGUUCGGAUUCAUUGGGUGUAAAGGGCAUGUAGGUGGCUUUUUAAGUCGAUUGUGAAAUCCCUUGGCUUAACCGAGGAACUGCAAUCGAUACUGAAGGGCUUGAGUGCAGAAGAGGAGAACGGAAUUCCCGGUGUAAGAGUGAAAUCUGUAGAGAUCGGGAGGAACACCAGUGGCGAAGGCGGUUCUCUGGUCUGCAACUGACACUGAAAUGCGAAAGCAAGGGGAGCAAACAGGAUUAGAUACCCUGGUAGUCCUUGCCGUAAACGAUGGGCACUAGGUGUCGGGUAGCAAUACUCGGUGCCGCAGUUAACACAUUAAGUGCCCCACCUGGGGACUACGGCCGCAAGGUUG
rnacentral:rRNA from 1 species